UACGUAUGGUGCGAGCGUUAUCCGGAUUUACUGGGCGUAAAGGGAGCGCAGGCGGCGCGCCAAGUCUGAUGUGAAACCCCGGGGCUCAACCCCGGGCAUGCAUUGGAAACUGGCGGGCUGGAGUGCUGGAGAGGUAAGCGGAAUUCCUAGUGUAGCGGUGAAAUGCGUAGAUAUUAGGAGGAACACCAGUGGCGAAGGCGGCUUACUGGACGGCAACUGACGCUGAGGCUCGAAAGCGUGGGGAGCAAACAGG
rnacentral:rRNA from 1 species